rnacentral:rRNA from 1 species
AUGAGAGUUCUACCAUUGAACUGGACGACUCCUUUGAUGAGACCAGCAUGCGUUUUGUGCGACGAAUCCAGGAGUCAAGGCCUUGGGGACAUAGCGAUAGUAUGGCUAACCAAGCUUUUCAACCUCAGUUUUCGGGCAAACAAGAUGCCAGAAGAAUGGAGACGGAGUAUUAUUAGUACCAACCUUCAAGAACGGGGGGAUGUUCGGAGUUGUACUAAUUACCGUGGAAUUAAGCUGAUGAGCCAUACAAUGAAGCUAUGGGAGAGAGCCAUUGAGCACCGCUUAAGAAGAAUGACAAGCGUGACCAAAAAUCAGUUUGGUUUCAUGCCUACGAGGUCGACCAUGGAAGCCAUUUUCUUGGUAAGACAACUUAUGGAGAGAUACAGGGAGCAAAAGAAGGACUUGUGUUAUGACCGGUUUGGUCUAUACAAAAAGAGGCCCACCGGGCAUUAG